CAGUCGCCGCGGGAAUACGAAGGGGGCUAGCGUUGUUCGGAUUUACUGGGCGUAAAGCGCACGUAGGCGGACUUUUAAGUCAGGGGUGAAAUCCCGGGGCUCAACCCCGGAACUGCCUUUGAUACUGGAAGUCUUGAGUAUGGUAGAGGUGAGUGGAAUUCCGAGUGUAGAGGUGAAAUUCGUAGAUAUUCGGAGGAACACCAGUGGCGAAGGCGGCUCACUGGACCAUUACUGACGCUGAGGUGCGAAAGCGUGGGGAGCAAACAGGAUUAGAUACCCGUGUAGUCCCUGUCUCUUAUAC
rnacentral:rRNA from 1 species